CCUUUAGAUACCCGGGUAGUCCACACCGUAAACGCUGUCUACUAGCUGUUUGUGAGUUUAACUCGUGAGUAGCGAAGCUAACGCGCUAAGUAGACCGCCUGGGGAGUACGGUCGCAAGAUUAAAACUCAAAUGAAUUGACGGGGGCCCGCACAAGCGGUGGAGCAUGUGGUUUAAUUCGAUGCAACGCGAAGAACCUUACCUACACUUGACAUUCAGCGAAGUUACCAGAGAUGGUUUCGUGCCUUCGGGAACGCUGGGACAGGUGCUGCAUGGCCGCCGUCAG
rnacentral:rRNA from 1 species